rnacentral:rRNA from 1 species
ACCGCGAAUGGCUCAUUAAAUCAGUCGAGGUUCCUUAGAUGAUCCUUUUCCUACUUGGAUAACUGUGGUAAUUCUAGAGCUAAUACAUGCGGACAAGCUCCGACCCCUCCGUGGGAAAGAGCGCUUUUAUUAGUUCAAAACCAGUCGGGGUUUCGGCUCCGUCCUUUGGUGACUCUGGAUAACUUUGUGCCGAUCGCAUGGCCUCGAGCCGGCGACGCAUCUUUCAAAUGUCUGCCCUAUCAAAUGACGAUGGUACGUGAUAGGCCUACCAUGUUUACUACGGGUAGCGGGGAAUCAGGGUUCGAUUCCGGAGAGGG